rnacentral:lncRNA from 1 species
GGAACUGUUGUAAUAUGUCUAUUUCUGUUAGAAACAACGAGUAUUUCUGCUGUUUUCUGUGAGUUUUCUUUGAUUCCUUUUUAUGUAGAUGUAAAGUCAUAAGCCCAUGUCUGUGAACUGGCAAUCUGUUUCCAUGGAAAUGAAUGGGAUGUCACAAACCUAGUGCUGGAGCUUCACUUCAAGCACAAGGAGAAAAUGGGCAGCAGAAGAAGGAUCUUGUAUUAUUUCAGGUUCCUACAUCUGCCCACAGCAAAUCUCAUCUCUUGAGCAGGUUGUACCAAGGAGUUGGGCAAGGCAGUGUGCAUACCCAGCUACACCCCAGAUCUAAGGACAAGGAGAAAUCUCUGACUACUCUGCAGGAGCUAAGAAUGAUGAAUGAGGAGGGAGGAAGCUGUAUUUUCUCUCUGCGUGGAGAAAAGCAAAAAAAAAAGUCUCUGUGCUUUGCACUAGAGCAUAAGUGGCCGUUAUUUUGGGGCUAGGAGGGAGAAUGUGCUAUUUUUACCCUCAGAUCUUAUGGAUAGACCAAGUUUUCCCAAAAAUUUGGCAAGUGUUUGUUCCAUUGGAAAGGAGAAGGAAAUCUUCGUUGCUUUUUAAUUUCUGUGACUAAAAGAAAUUAUGAAGAUGAUCAGUUGUUUGGUUUUGCCAGUGUGGUACAGCACUGUGUAAAUGCUUUGAAGUGCAGAUCAGUGAGGAACUAGGUGGAAGUGCAAGUAUUUACCCAGACAGAAGUCUAGCUGGUCCUUGUGUACAAGCUAUUUGACUUCCUUGAUGCGAGUUACAUUUUCAUGGGCCAUUCUGGCUGUGCAUUAAUGGAGGAGAAUUUGGAACAUUAAUUGUCUUCAGUGAAGAGGCAUUUUAAUUCUAUAAUUUUGCAAAAAAAAAAAAAAAAUCUAAUUAGAGGGAAGAGAUUUCCCCUUUUUUUCACAGCUGUCUGCAGCAUGAGUUCACUUGACCCAGUGACAAUUAAUUGCAUCCCAACUGGCAAGAGCAAUGAGUUUCUACUGUGCAUAACUAUUGUAGAUAUGUCUAAGAUUUCAGUUAAAAAAAAAAAAAAGUAAUGAAGCAAACUGAUUAUUACUUGUGCCCAUCCAUGGCAAUCCAUGUAUUGUUUACAAAUAAUAAAGAAACAAAGAUAUCACA